AGGUGAAAUUUAGUGUAGGUGAGUAGUAGGGAAGUGAUUUAAGAUUUUUUGAGGCUACUAAAGUUUAGGCAUAAAACAGGAUUAGAUACCCUGCUAUACUAAAUUGAAAAUUAAUCGCUUGAGUAGUAAGCAGUUAUAUUCUUGAAACUUAAAGGAUUUGGCGGUAUUUUAGUCUUGUUAGAGGAACCUGUUUUAUAAACGAUAAACCACGAAUUAUCUUACUUUUUCUGGUAUUUCAGUUUGUAUACCGCCAUUAUUAGGUAGUUUUUAUAAAAAUCUGCUUUAAUAACUUAUGAGUUAGUAUAUUAGGUCAAGGUGCAGCUAAUGAAAAAGUAAUUAAUGGGUUACAAUGAUAUAAGUGUAUCACGGAUUAGUAGUUUAAAAUUUCUUUGAAGGUGGAUUUAAUAGUAAAAUUUGUUUAAUAUGCAAUUUUGAUAAAAGCUCUAAGAUAUGUA
rnacentral:rRNA from 1 species